ACAGUGGACGCGAGCAUCUUUGUGGCUCAAGUUUUUAAGGGCACACGGUGGAUGCCUUGGCACCAGGAACCGAAGAAGGACGUAGGAAUCUGCGAUAAGCCUCGGGGAGUCGAUAACCAGACUGUGAUCCGAGGAUUUCCGAAUGGGGAAACCCGGCUGGAGGCAAGUCCAGUCACUCCCGCCUGAACACAUAGGGCGGGUAGAGGGAACGUGGGGAAGUGAAACAUCUCAGUACCCACAGGAAGAGAAAGCAACCGCGAUUCCGUGAGUAGUGGCGAGCGAAAGCGGAAGAGGCUAAACCUCAGUUGUGUGAUACCUGUCAGGGGUUGCAGCUGGGGGGUCGUGGGACUUUUCGGUCAGUGCUGACACGCUGGCAUGGAGUCAGAAAUGCGCGUUGUAGUCGAAGGGCAUUGAAAGGCCCGGCACAGAGGGUGCUACCCCCGUAGACGAAACGAUGCGCACUCCAGAGAAGUAUCCCAAGUAGCACGGGGCCCGAGAAAUCCCGUGUGAAUCUGGCGGGACCACCCGCUAAGCCUAAAUAUUCCCUGGUGACCGAUAGCGGACAAGUACCGUGAGGGAAAGGUGAAAAGUACCCCGGGAGGGGAGUGAAAUAGAUCCUGAAACCGUGUGCCUACAAUCCGUCGGAGCCUCCUUGUGGGGUGACGGCGUGCCUUUUGAAGAAUGAGCCUGCGAGUUAGUGCUCAGUGGCGAGGUUAACCCGUGUGGGGAAGCCGUAGCGAAAGCGAGUCCGAAUAGGGCGUUUUAGUCGCUGGGUCUAGACCCGAAGCGGAGUGAUCUACCCAUGGCCAGGUUGAAGCGACGGUAAGACGUCGUGGAGGACCGAACCCACUUAGGUUGAAAACUGAGGGGAUGAGCUGUGGGUAGGGGUGAAAGGCCAAUCAAACUCCGUGAUAGCUGGUUCUCCCCGA
rnacentral:rRNA from 1 species